rnacentral:rRNA from 1 species
AAGCGUUUAUGACCAGACUUGGGCUUGGUUAAUCAUCUGGGGUUCUCCCCAGUGCACUUUUCCAGUCCAGGCCAGCAUCAGUUUUCCCCGGGGGAUAAAGGCGGCGGGAAUGUGGCUCUCUUCGGGGAGUGUUAUAGCCUAGGGUGCAAUGCAGCCUGCUGGGACCGAGGACCGCGCUUCGGCUAGGAUGCUGGCGUAAUGGU